rnacentral:siRNA from 1 species
AAGAUGAGUUGAGUUGAGCGAACU